AGAGCGGGGAGGCGAACUGCCGCAGAGUUCUUGCUUUCCGGCAGGUGAUGGCGCCCCCCGCGGCCUAGAGGUCCAGCGCUCGCCGCGAGCAGCGGACAGUCCUCCUGUUGUGUCCGACCAAGAGUCCUGGUGACUUUGAACAUGCUGGUGCCGCUAGCCAAGCUGUCCUGCCCGGCAUAUCAGUGCUUUCAUGCCUUAAAAAUUAAGAAAAAUUAUCUACCUCUAUGUGCUACAAGAUGGUCUUCAACUUCUACUGUGCCUCGAAUUACUACCCAUUAUACUAUUUAUCCCCGGGAUAAGGACAAGAGAUGGGAAGUCACUCACCAAGAACAGCUUCCAGUCCUGUAAGUUCUCUUCAUGGAGUGAACAUGGAAAGGUUUGCAGAAGAAGCAGAUGUUGUAAUAGUUGGUGCAGGCCCUGCAGGGCUCUCUGCAGCUGUUCGUCUAAAACAAUUGGCUGCGGCACAUGAAAAGGACAUCCGUGUGUGUCUAGUGGAGAAAGCUGCCCAGAUAGGAGCUCAUACUCUCUCAGGGGCUUGCCUUGAUCCAGGUGCUUUUAAAGAACUCUUCCCAGACUGGAAAGAGAAGGGG
rnacentral:sRNA from 1 species